rnacentral:rRNA from 1 species
CCUACGGGUGGCAGCAGUGAGGAAUAUUGGUCAAUGGCCGGAAGGCUGAACCAGCCAAGCCGCGUGAAGGACGAAGGUGCCAAGCAUUGUAAACUUCUUUUGUCAAGGGACAAAAUCAGGCUCGAGAGCCUGACCGAGGGUACUUGAAGAAAAAGCAUCGGCUAACUCCGUGCCAGCAGCCGCGGUAAUACGGAGGAUGCGAGCGCUAUCCGGAUAUAUUGGGGUUAAAGGGUGCGUAGGCGGGAUGCCAAGUCAGCGGUAAAAAUGCGGUGCUCAAGGCCGUCGAGCCGUUGAAACUGGCGUUCUUGAUUGGGCGAGAAGUAUGCGGAAUGCGUGGUGUAGCGGUGAAAUGCAUAGAUAUCACGCAGAACUCCGAUUGCGAAGGCAGCAUACCGGCGCCCUACUGACGCUGAGGCACGAAAGCGUGGGUAUCGAACAGGAUUAGAUACCCUAGUAGUC